rnacentral:rRNA from 1 species
GUUAAGCGACUAAGCGUACACGGUGGAUGCCCUGGCAGUCAGAGGCGAUGAAGGGCGUGCUAAUCUGCGAUAAGCGCCGGUAAGGUGAUAUGAACCGUUAUAACCGGCGAUACCCGAAUGGGGAAACCCAGUGUGACUCGUCACACUAUCAUUAACUGAAUCCAUAGGUUAAUGAGGCGAACCGGGGGAACUGAAACAUCUAAGUACCCCGAGGAAAAGAAAUCAACCGAGAUUCCCCCAGUAGCGGCGAGCGAACGGGGAGGAGCCCAGAGCCUGAAUCAGCAUGUGUGUUAGUGGAAGCGUCUGGAAAGGCGCGCGAUACAGGGUGACAGCCCCGUACACAAAAGCGCAUGUGCUGUGAGCUCGAUGAGUAGGGCGGGACACGUGGUAUCCUGUCUGAAUAUGGGGGGACCAUCCUCCAAGGCUAAAUACUCCUGACUGACCGAUAGUGAACCAGUACCGUGAGGGAAAGGCGAAAAGAACCCCGGCGAGGGGAGUGAAAAAGAACCUGAAACCGUGUACGUACAAGCAGUGGGAGCCCCACCACUAAGCCAGUGGUGAACUCCACAUACGCAUCCUUUGCUGAGGAUACGGUUAACGGAGCGAAAGCGACGUUCAACCGCAAAAGAAGCAGAGGGGGCUUAGUGGUGGGGUGACUGCGUACCUUUUGUAUAAUGGGUCAGCGACUUAUAUUCUGUAGCAAGGUUAACCGAAUAGGGGAGCCGGAGGGAAACCGAGUCUUAAUUGGGCGUUAAGUUGCAGGGUAUAGACCCGAAACCCGGUGAUCUAGCCAUGGGCAGGUUGAAGGUUGGGUAACACUAACUGGAGGACCGAACCGACUAAUGUUGAAAAAUUAGCGGAUGACCUGUGGCUGGGGGUGAAAGGCCAAUCAAACCGGGAGAUAGCUGGUUCUCCCCGAAAGCUAUUUAGGUAGCGCCUCGUGAAUUCAUCUCCGGGGGUAGAGCACUGUUUCGGCUAGGGGGCCAUCCCGGCUUACCAACCCGAUGCAAACUGCGAAUACCGGAGAAUGUUAUCACGGGAGACACACGGCGGGUGCUAACGUCCGUCGUGAAGAGGGAAACAACCCAGACCGCCAGCUAAGGUCCCAAAGUCAUGGUUAAGUGGGAAACGAUGUGGGAAGGCCCAGACAGCCAGGAUGUUGGCUUAGAAGCAGCCAUCAUUUAAAGAAAGCGUAAUAGCUCACUGGUCGAGUCGGCCUGCGCGGAAGAUGUAACGGGGCUAAACCAUGCACCGAAGCUGCGGCAGCGACACUGUGUGUUGUUGGGUAGGGGAGCGUUCUGUAAGCCUGUGAAGGUGUGUCGUGAGGCAUGCUGGAGGUAUCAGAAGUGCGAAUGCUGACAUAAGUAACGAUAAAGCGGGUGAAAAGCCCGCUCGCCGGAAGACCAAGGGUUCCUGUCCAACGUUAAUCGGGGCAGGGUGAGUCGACCCCUAAGGCGAGGCCGAAAGGCGUAGUCGAUGGGAAACGGGUUAAUAUUCCCGUACUUGGUGUUACUGCGAAGGGGGGACGGAGAAGGCUAUGUUGGCCGGGCGACGGUUGUCCCGGUUUAAGCGUGUAGGUGUGUGUUCCAGGUAAAUCCGGUUCACUUUAACACUGAGGCGUGACGACGAGGCACUACGGUGCUGAAGCAACAAAUGCCCUGCUUCCAGGAAAAGCCUCUAAGCAUCAGGUAACACGAAAUCGUACCCCAAACCGACACAGGUGGUCAGGUAGAGAAUACCAAGGCGCUUGAGAGAACUCGGGUGAAGGAACUAGGCAAAAUGGUGCCGUAACUUCGGGAGAAGGCACGCUGACACGUAGGUGAAGUGAUUUACUCAUGGAGCUGAAGUCAGUCGAAGAUACCAGCUGGCUGCAACUGUUUAUUAAAAACACAGCACUGUGCAAACACGAAAGUGGACGUAUACGGUGUGACGCCUGCCCGGUGCCGGAAGGUUAAUUGAUGGGGUCAGCGCAAGCGAAGCUCCUGAUCGAAGCCCCGGUAAACGGCGGCCGUAACUAUAACGGUCCUAAGGUAGCGAAAUUCCUUGUCGGGUAAGUUCCGACCUGCACGAAUGGCGUAAUGAUGGCCAGGCUGUCUCCACCCGAGACUCAGUGAAAUUGAACUCGCUGUGAAGAUGCAGUGUACCCGCGGCAAGACGGAAAGACCCCGUGAACCUUUACUAUAGCUUGACACUGAACAUUGAGCCUUGAUGUGUAGGAUAGGUGGGAGGCUUUGAAGUGUGGACGCCAGUCUGCAUGGAGCCGACCUUGAAAUACCACCCUUUAAUGUUUGAUGUUCUAACGUGGACCCGUGAUCCGGGUUGCGGACAGUGUCUGGUGGGUAGUUUGACUGGGGCGGUCUCCUCCUAAAGAGUAACGGAGGAGCACGAAGGUUGGCUAAUCCUGGUCGGACAUCAGGAGGUUAGUGCAAUGGCAUAAGCCAGCUUGACUGCGAGCGUGACGGCGCGAGCAGGUGCGAAAGCAGGUCAUAGUGAUCCGGUGGUUCUGAAUGGAAGGGCCAUCGCUCAACGGAUAAAAGGUACUCCGGGGAUAACAGGCUGAUACCGCCCAAGAGUUCAUAUCGACGGCGGUGUUUGGCACCUCGAUGUCGGCUCAUCACAUCCUGGGGCUGAAGUAGGUCCCAAGGGUAUGGCUGUUCGCCAUUUAAAGUGGUACGCGAGCUGGGUUUAGAACGUCGUGAGACAGUUCGGUCCCUAUCUGCCGUGGGCGCUGGAGAACUGAGGGGGGCUGCUCCUAGUACGAGAGGACCGGAGUGGACGCAUCACUGGUGUUCGGGUUGUCAUGCCAAUGGCACUGCCCGGUAGCUAAAUGCGGAAGAGAUAAGUGCUGAAAGCAUCUAAGCACGAAACUUGCCCCGAGAUGAGUUCUCCCUGAGACUUAGAGUCUCCUGAAGGAACGUUGAAGACGACGACGUUGAUAGGCCGGGUGUGUAAGCGCAGCGAUGCGUUGAGCUAACCGGUACUAAUGAACCGUGAGGCUUAACC